rnacentral:rRNA from 1 species
ACCUAGUUAAUUCUACUAGUAGUUAUAUACUUAUCUUAAAGAUUAAGCCAUGUAUAUCUAAGUAUAAGCAAUUAUACUGUAAAACUGCAAAUAGCUUAUUAAAUUAGUUAUUAUUUAUUUAAUAGUACCUUACUACUUAGAUAACUAUAGUAAUUCUAGAGCUAAUACAUGCUAAAAACCCUAACUUUAGAAGGGGUGUAUUUAUUAGAUAAAAAACUAACGCCCUUUAGGGCUUCUUAGUAAUUUAUAAUAACUUUACAGAUCGCAUAGCCUUACGCUAGCGAUAGUUCAUUUAAAUUUCUGCCCUAUUAACUUUUAAUAGUAAGGUAUUAGCUUACCAUAGUUUUAAUAGGUAACGGGGAAUUAGGGUUUAAUUCUAGAGAGGGAGCCUAAGAAAUAGCUACUAUAUCUAAGGAAGGUAGCAGGCGCGCAAAUUACCUAAUCCUAACAUAGGGAGGUAGUAACAAUAAAUACUAAUACAGGGCUCUUUUAGGUCUUAUAAUUAGAAUAAGUAUAAUUUAAACCUCUUAAUAAGGAACAAUUAGAGAGCAAGUCUAGUGCUAGUAGCUACAGUAAUUCUAGCUCUAAUAGCGUAUAUUAAACUUAUUGCAGUUAAAAAGCUUGUAGUUAAAACUUAGGUCUAGCUAGCAGGUCUACCUUACCGCGUGUACUUAUCUAGCUAGGCCUUCCUUCUAGAGAACCUUAUGCCCUUUACUAGGCGUGUUAGGGACUAGGACUUUUACUUUAAAAAAAUUAGAGUGUUUAAAGUAGGCCUUUGCUUAAAUAUAUUAGUAUAGAAUAAUAGAAUAGGACGUAUAGUCCUAUUUUGUUAGUUUCUAGGACUACUAUAAUAAUUAAUAGGGAUAGUUAGGGGCAUUAGUAUUUAAUUAUUAGAGGUAAAAUUCUUAGAUUUAUUAAAGACUAACUACUACGAAAGUAUUUACUAAGGAUAUUUUUAUUAAUUAGUAAAUAAAAGUUAGGGGAUUAAAGAUAAUUAGAUACUAUCCUCCCUAGGGAGGCAAUGCAUAUGCUAGUGCAUUAUUAACAAACAACUUCUAUAGUUACUAUAAAAAGUGCACUAUAUUUUAGGGAGUCUAAGGCUGCUUCUACAAGUUAGUAGGUACAAUACUAACGCAGAGGGGAGGAGUAACGCUAGAAGUAUAUAUAUUUAUAUAAAGCUAUUAACUAUAAGGUAUAAUAUAGUUAAUAGUUAUUAUAUAACUUGUAGCUAAAUGCCUACCUAAGUCCUUAAAGAGGUUCUUACCCCCCUAGAGAUUAUUUAUACAAAUAAUUAAUAGCGCUUAUAAUAAUAGCGUAAAAUUUUUAACCUUACACACACUUUUAUAAUAAUAGCUAUAACUCUACUUUAAUACUAAUUUUUUGCCCUGCAUCCUAGUCUAGUUUAGAAACACCUUAGGAAACUUUAGUAUAGAAGGACUAAAUACCUUGUUUAUAGUAUUUAAAUCUAAAAACUCUACUAUCUACCUCUAAGCCCUUUAAGCUAAUUACCCUUUAACGCAGUCUAAGUUCUAAGUUACUUAGGCUAAAAACUAUAUUAUAUUUAAAAGUAGACAAAGGGAAGAGAGUUAGGACCCUAAAUAAUUAACUUAAGAGUAAGUUUAAGUAAGUAUAUUAUAAAAAGUUAGUAUUAUAUAUUAACUUAUAUAGUGCCUAAAUCUGCCCCUGUCCCCUAUAAAAAGGGGAAGGAGAAGGAAGGAGAAGGUAAGAAGGGUAGAGUAGAGAAGAAGAAGGACUAGACUAAGUAAAAGCGCACAACUAAUACUUUACCUAACACGACACUACUAACUAAA